GUUCGAAUUGUGUGUGAUUGUUUUUGUUGGAUGUUGUUGUAUUUGAAGGAGUAUUUUGAUUGGGUUCUUUCUUCUGAGGUACUCAGUCAACAGCAGAAACAUUCGGAAUUCGGGAGUGUUACGGUUUUUGCUGUAAUUGAUAUCUGAUCGGAACUGAAAUAGUUAGCGAUAGUGGACAGCGGGAUCAACAUUGUGUUCGCCAGCUCCAUAGUUUAUGGUUCGUCCUGUGAAAUUCUUUAUUGGAGAAUCUACAAGCAUUGCUGCUGUUGGGCACCUUGGCGUUACUCUACUGUGUCGCCGCCACCGCUGCCACAGCGGACGAUGCUGCAGCUCAGGCCGAUGCGUCGGACUUGUCCAGUGAAGAUGCAGCCCGGGCUAUCAAGGUGCUCUUGAAGAAGAAGAUGUCUGUGGUGAUCAAGAAGAAACCACACCAGCAGGGUGGAACAAGGCCCCAACUUGAGCCAGAUCCCUUGCAAGUCCAGACACCCCCACCUGGAACAACCCUCUGGGAAGAUCCAAAACCUCCCCAAUCUGAUGAAAGUGGGAAUGAAGCAGGACUGCAGCAGACACAAGAACCAGAACCCGCUGAAGAUGAGACAGACACGGAGGAACCCCAAGAACCAGAAAGCACUGUAGAUGAGACAGAUCCAGAAGAGGCCACAGAACCAGAACUCGACGCAUCUACUAUCGAAUAGUGAAGGAGAUGUGCUGGGCUUGCCACAAAUACGCAUAAUUACAUCACCUCCUCGCUCCACAGAGAAGUCUUACCCCAUUUAAGUGGUAAAUAAAGUGUGCUACACAGCAACAGAGCACUAUUCACUUUCACAGGAGGUAUCAAACACAUUAAAUUAAAUUAAAGAAUAGUGUCGUGAUGUUUCUAUCUAUAGCAGUGACUAACAUCGAUUGUGCUUCGCUGCUGAAGUUGAUUGGCUGGACCAGUCAAAUUGUCAGACAGUCAAAGUAGGUAUAGUUCCAUUUCAUUAGUGAAAGAUCCCUCAUAUACAGUACAGGGAAAGGCAGGAAUAAAGUAUUGAACAGAGGUUAUUACUCUAGAAUGUUACACAGCAUAGAUGAAGACAGUGGUCCGAUACCUCGGAAGAGGUUUUCUUUGUCGAAACUAUGGCUUUCUGUCGGACCAGCUAUCACUGGAUGGAUAAAAAUAUCCCUUUAUCUUCCUUCUGCUACUGCAUAGUUUCAGAUGUGAAGCUAUUUUCAAAUAUUUGUAUGAAAUAUGUAUCAUUAUAACGUAGAUAAAUAUCAAAAACCACUGGUUGCAUAACAGAAAUAGUAACAUGUGGAAGUACCAAUCAAAAUGGAUGUACUUACAUUAACAUUGACGUACUCAUCAAUUAAUGCAGCGGUAGAAACGGAUAGUAGUUAGUAAUAAAAUUAAACAGACAUAAUAAAAGU